rnacentral:lncRNA from 1 species
GCAUGAGCCACAUGGCGCAUGGAUGGAGUUGGCGCCACCUUUAGAUAAGGUCUAUCCUAUUUUUCUUCGUAACCUUUAUUCUACGAAUGUAUUUCAGAUGUCUUAAGAGGCACCUAAGAGUUCUUUUGAGUAUUAAACUCAUCGUAGAAGAAUUAAGAAAAGGAUAAGGAUUAAAUCCAUGCGCCACCUCUUGGAAGCGCCCCUUUGAAAUUUCAAAUGGGGAGAUAAGUUUUAAAUUAUCCACGCCCAUUUAUCUCUUGCACCAUUCUUCAAAUUGACACCAUAUAUCUUGGCCAUUGGAUGGGCUUUCUUCCAGAUCCAAAGGCAUGGGUUGAUGGCACCAAUAAGAGAAGCUUCGUGACUUCUCAUCUGAACACCGUAAGUUAAGAUCGAAGAGUCUUUCUGAAAUAAGGCGUCUCUUCAACCCAAUUUUGAUGUACACAUGGCAUUUCUUAACUUAUGGGGCGUGAGAAAUAGAUAAGAUGCAUGAGAUAAUUUGUAAGAGGGUGUGAGAUAUUUUGGAUUGCAUCUUUACAUGCAAUAUAAAU